UACGGAGGGUGCAAGCAUUGAUCGGAAUUAUUGGGCGUAAAGGGCGCGUAGGCGGCAAGAUAAGUCAGAUGUGAAAUCCCGGGGCUCAACCCCGGACCUGCAUUUGAAACUAUCUAGCUAGAGUAUAGUUAGGGAAAACGGAAUUCCACGUGUAGCGGUGAAAUGCGUAGAUAUGUGGAAGAACACCGGUGGUGAAGACGGUUUUCUAGGCUAAAACUGACGCUGAGGCGCGAAAGCUAGGGGAGCAAACAGG
rnacentral:rRNA from 1 species